UCUCUCUUUUGUGUGUGUGAGCGGGCGGGAACUUACGCGUUGCCAAUCAGAAUGCUAGAUAUUAUAGCACAUUAUGCUAUAUUGACCCUAUUACCAGAAAGGUUGUGGCUCAUCAUGUACUUAAAUAAAUAUUAUAAUUCUGCUAAAUAAUGAAUUUUUAAAUUGUAAAUCGCAUAAAUAGCCUUUCAUUUGUUCUUAAUUGACCGCAAUUAUGGCUUUAGCAUCAUGCGCUGAAAAUCAGCGCUCUUGACAACACUGAACUGAACAAAACAAAUCCAACAUUUUCCCGCCUAAACUGCCUCACUCGGGACUUCGUGUUGAGCGGCCAACAACAGAUUUCUCCCUGUUUUGUCUCGUUACCGGGUUUUCCUCUCCCUCUGUUGUGCAUUAAGAGAUAUUGAAGACCCUGCUCGUGGACCAAAGGACAGUGAAAUCACCGCAAACAAGGAUGUGGAAAAGAUCGGUGUGGCUGGAGGGCAGAAAAGAAGAGGAGUGUGUGGUACCAUCUACCUGGAUAGCUGAAGGCAGCCAGAUUUUAUAUUGGCCAUCAAAAGUUGAUGCUCACAAUGCCUUAACUAGUUGAGAAGACCCAGACCCCAAAUCAUGGAGAAAAUUUCCAUUGAUAAAAGUAAAAAUAGCUUCUGACAGUUACGAGGAAUGUGAGCAGCACCAGCUGACAUCAGCAGUAGACAGUGACAGAAGCAGCAGUGACCUGGAUGGGGAAGAUGGUUUGACCUUGCGUGGUAGGAAGAAACGUAUGAAGAAAGCUCUGCCAAAGGACUUUAUUAGUAGUCAGGAUUUGGACUGUUCACACUUUGCCUCAGGGCCAUCUUUACAAGUAACAGUUGCUCCCCCCCACCACAAAAGGUUGUCCCAUACAACCAUCAACACAAAGGCUUGCCAAGUGCAGCAAGAAAAAAAUCUGAAAAGACAUAAUUCUGACAGAUGUGAAAGUAACCGGCAAAAGAAGAGUAGUUACCAACAGCAAGAUGAAGGCAGUCAGCCUGAUACCCUACACAGCAGUUUGGACCUUCAUGACAACCACAGCCUAAGGAACAGAUCUGACCGACAGACGAGACAUGACAGCAGUGACCAACAAAGCAGACAUGACAGCAGCGAUUGACACAACAGACAUGACAGCAGCGAUUACACAGCAGACAUGACAGCAGUGACCGACACAGCAGACAUGACAGCAGUGACCAACACAGCAGACGUGACAGCAGUGACCAACACAAAAGACAUGACAGUCGUGGCCAAUGCAGCAGACUUGACAGCAGUGACUGACACAACAGACAUGACAGUCAUGACCGACACAACAGACAUGACAGCAGUGACCAACGCAGCAGGCAUGACAGUCAUGACCGACACAACAGACAUGACAGUCGUGACCGACAUGACAGCAGUGACCGACGCAGCAGGCAUGACAGUCGUGACCGACACAACAGACAUGACAACAGUGACCAACGCAGCAGACAUGACAGCAGUGACCGACAAGGGAGCGAUUGGAUUCAGAAUCUGUCUAGUGAAGACCUUGAUGAUGUUCAACCCUUGAACCAAGGAGAAAACCGUCAAAGUGGCUUUCCUAUGGAUUGGGCAAAAUUCCAGAGGCGAGUCAUUCAUUUGUUGCUGGAUAUGAGGACCUCUUUGCAUACUCUUACUGGCUCUACACCAAGUGACAAUGAUAUAUCAAUUCAACAGCUGGACUCUAUGGAGGAUGCAGAGGCAUUUGAAAAUGAAUUGUGAACACCCUCUUUUUGCAAAGAAAUGACAGAAAAAUUUGUCCACAUAGGUGGAAUUUCAGUGAAGGAUAUGAUAUCAAAGGUAUUGUGCAGCAUUAUGUCGAAGAAGUUGAUGUGUAAGUACAACAUGUAUGGACAACGGGGCAAAGUAGCUUUUAAAAAUACAAGAUUGUGAAGUGUCAUCACAGACUGUUAUGAAGAAAUUCAGAGAUGUGAGUUUAACAGAAAUACACAUGAUUGCAACACAAUUGUGUAAUGCCCCAAAAAUGAAGUAAGUGGAAACUAAAUCAUGUAGGGUAGUGGGCAAAUAGUGAUGCUGGGUCAGGGGAUACCAUAAAAUCAGGUAACUUCAGACAUUUUUUAGGGUUUUGGCCUAUAAAUUCUUGUAGAACUACACUAUUUGAAACCUGUCCUUACUGUGAAAACUGUUCUAUGAUCUGUCCAACAGUUUGGUUAGACUCAGGAAAACUGUUGAUACCCACAUUUUUAUUCCAGGUACGGUGUGCGAAAAAAUGUAGCAACAAGGUAUGUGUAUUCUCAAAGCAUGAACAGAAAUUUGUAUUAGUAAUUAAGAGCCACACCUGUAAUAUCAAGGCAUACUGUGUAGAACAGUCCUUGAGUAAGGGCUGAGGAGGUAAACCUAAAAUCUGAAAUCUGACUCCUUUAUUUUGAAAUAACUGCCACAAAAUGGUUGUUGAUAAUGAAACUGGCUUUAUAAUGCUACCAAGAACUCAGCUGGAGUCGGAGUCAUGGUAACUUUACUGACUCCUGCCUCCUUUCACCCACUAUUGCUGUGACUUGACUGCAGGCCUGCCAUGAAUAACAGCAAAUUGUGAAAAUGAUGA